AAUAGAUACCCAGGUAGUCCACGCUGUAAACGUUGGACACUAGGUGUGGCGGUCUGAUCAACGACUGCCGUGCCGAAGCUAACGCAUUAAGUGUCCCGCCUGGGGAGUACGGCCGCAAGGCUAAAACUCAAAGGAAUUGACGGGUCCCCGCACAAGCGGCGGAGCAUGCGGCUUAAUUCGAUGCAACCCGAAGAACCUUACCUGGGUUUGACAUCAUGGGAAAAGCCGUGGAAACACGGUGUCCGUAAGGGCCCAUGACAGGUGGUGCAUGGCUGUCGUCAGCUCGUGUCGUGAGAUGUUGGGUUAAGUCCCGCAACGAGCGCAACCCUUGUCCUAUGUUGCCAGCGGUUCGGCCGGGGACUCAUAGGAGACUGCCGGGGAUAACUCGGAGGAAGGUGAGGACGAUGUCAAGUCAUCAUGCCCCUUAUAUCCAGGGCUGCACGCAUGCUACAAUGGUCGGUACGAACGGGCAGCGAUCCUGCGAAGGUGAGCGAAUCCCACAAGCCGGCCUCAGUUCGGAUUGG
rnacentral:rRNA from 1 species